rnacentral:rRNA from 1 species
AGAACGAACGCUGGCGGCAGGCUUAACACAUGCAAGUCGAACGCGUGUAGCAAUACACGAGUGGCGCACGGGUGAGUAACGCGUGGAUAUCUGCCUUUUGGUUUGGAAUAACCCCGGGAAACUGGGGCUAAUACCGGAUGGUUCCUACGGGAUAAAGAUUUAUCGCCAAAAGAUGAGUCCGCGUACGAUUAGCUAGUUGGUGAGGUAAUGGCUCACCAAGGCGACGAUCGUUAGCUGGUCUGAGAGGACGAUCAGCCACACUGGGACUGAGACACGGCCCAGACUCCUACGGGAGGCAGCAGUGGGGAAUAUUGGACAAUGGGGGCAACCCUGAUCCAGCCAUGCCGCGUGAGUGAUGAAGGCCUUCGGGUUGUAAAGCUCUUUUGGCGGGGACGAUGAUGACGGUACCCGCAGAAUAAGCCCGGCUAACUUCGUGCCAGCAGCCGC